UUAUGUUUUUUUUUUUACUUAAGGCUAUGCUUUUUUUGUGCCUAUUAUAAAGGGUUGUUAUUACAAAUUUUUAUUUUUAUUUUUUUGAAUAGAUACACAAAAGUAAGAAAAAAAGAAUCUACUUGUUUUUCUGGUUGUAUACAUAAUUCUAGUUUUUUUUUCUUUCCAAAAAAAAUAUAAAAUUUGGUGUUUGAAGAUCCAUUUGACUAGGACACUAUUUUGAUCAUCUAUUUAAAUUCAUUUCAUUUUCUUGAUUCUUGAAAAAAAAUGAUCAUUGUAUAGAGAGAUUAGUAUAUUUAUACGUUUCGUAUACACGUAUAUGCCUGGCUCCCUGUAUGCCAUUUGCAAAGCUCAUCGUAAUAUAUCGAUGGGCCUUGUUGAAUGGCGUAUGAGGAGCCAAGCAUAUUCCGAUAUCGUGUAUAUGAUGUUGAAAUAUGUGACCAUCUCAUCGUAUAUAGUUAAUAAAGGUAGCUCUAAUUUUUUUAUUUUUUUUGUUUUGAGAUCUAUGUUUAGGUUAUGGUGAUUGUUGAAGAAUUCUUCAUUUUCAGUUGCAACAGAUCUAGUGGAGACAAGAUGUGGAUUGUAGCUCAGAGGAUUAAAGAACGUGGCUCCAAACCACGAUGUCAGGGGUUCGAAUCCCUCCUCGCCCACAAUCGGCCCAAAAGGGAUACAAGAAGGGCCGAACCACAAGGGAUCUAUUGUGCGUAACUUCACCUUAUAUUUUUGCAAGAGCCUGCUUCACGACUUGAACAUGUGACCUUCUUAUCACAUUACAACACCUUUACCGGUUACUUUAAAAUUCUGUUUUCCUUUUCUUUUUUUAAAAAAGACAAUCUAGUGUAUUAAAAUUCUCGCUAUGUGCACAGUCUGGGAAGGGCCGAACUACAAGGGGUUUAUUGUACAUAGUCUCACCUUAUAUUUUUGCAAGAAACUAUUUCAUGAAUGAACAUGUGACUUUCUUAACA